CCAUGGCAGUCGUAGUGGCUUGCUUUUAGAGAGCAGUAAACCUGGGUUGAAUGUCCAUGUAAUUCCCUUCAACUAGAAUAGUGGAUGGCAAGAGUUAUCAGAAGCAAAGAGAAGCAACUGGAAGUCUAAAGCUUUACUCGAAGAGCAGUAGUAUCUGUGUUCCCCUGUGUACUUCGGUUUGUUCCACCACUAGCGAUUAGACAGUGAUCACAAUGCAAGAAUCAUUACAUUUCAUGGGGACUCCCAGAAUUCUUAAU